GCACCCUUUCCUUUUACAAGGCUCCUGUCAAAAGAGAAGAGACUGCCCUGCUGGCUAAUGAUGUUUUAGGCACCUUGGUGUGUUCUACAAAUGUCAACCUCGGGGAGGUGCCCUGAAAGUGGGCCCUGAGGCCAUGUUGCUGAACGGACUUCUUGCUUGAAAACAGGCCUCUCCAGAGCCCAAGAGAAAAGAUAUUGCUGGACAGAGAGACAUGAUGCCAGCAACCUUUCAAGGGCAUGACCUGCUGCAGUUUCUGGACUUCUGAGUAAACAGGUAGGAAAGGAAGGGGCUGCCCACUUGAAAACCCAUGGCAGAUGGCCACCCAACCUCUGCUUAAAAACAUCCAGUGAAGGAGAGUCCACCAUCUUCCAAGGGAGUCCGUUCCACUGUUGAACAGCUCUUACCAUCAGAAAGCUCUUCCUGAUGUUCAGCUGGAAUCUCCUUUCUUGUAUCUUGAAUCCUACCCUCUGGAGCAGGAGAAAACAAGCUUGGCCCAUGCUCCAUAGGGCUAUCACAUCUCCUCUCAGUCUCCUCUUUUCCAGGCUAAACAUACCCAACUCCCUCAACCAUUCCUCAUGAGGCAGACCCUUCAUCAUCUCAGUUGCCCUCCUCGGGACUCAUUCUAGCUUGUCCAAUGUGUUUCUGAAACUGGGGUCGCCAGAACUGGACACACAACUCCAGGUGGGAUGUGGCCAAGGCAGAAUAAAGCAGUCCUAUUGCUUCCCUUGAUCCAAAGACUAUACCUCUGUUGGUUGCAGCCUAGUAUUACAUUAGCUUUUUUUGCUGCUGCAUCACACUGUUGACUCAGGACAAACUUGUGGUCUACUAACACCCCUAGAUCCCUUUAACGUGUGCUGCUGUCAUGCCUGGUGCCCCCCAUCCUAUCCAGCACCUCUUCCCCCUUGUGAAUCCUUUCUUAAAGGAUGGGGAAACUUACACACACAGAGAUUCUGCUAGUGAUCUGAUUCUGACCCAAGCAGCUGUUGCGGAUAAUCAUAAUUUGACUCCUUUAUCCUUUCUCUGCUCCCUGGUCCAGGUCCUCUUCAGUUGCAGGGGGAAGUCAUGGUGUGUGUGUGUAAUUUUCUCCCAGCCUCCCAGAAUAUAACUGCCUGGAGUUGCAUUUAAUGAGUUUAGCCAAAAUGGGCUGGCUGGAGUGCCUUCUUCCUGCAAGGCAAUGGAGGAACUCAAUGGCAGACCGAUGUGGCCCUGACAAUGCCUGCCAUUGUCCCACCAGCUCUGUCUGCCAAGGCUCAGCCGAGGGAUGAAUGGGGCUUGUUUCUGCCGUGGGUUGCCGGCUUAUUUAUUUAUUUGCUUGUUUAAAAUGUUUCCAUCCCGCCCCCAUCCUAGAGGCAGCUCACCACCAUUGUUAAAACAACAACGCCCACUCUUUAUUAAAAACACACACAUGCUGCACAAUCAAAACAACGAGGUGGCAUUCAACCUUGCAUGCAGGAGCUCAGGUUCAGUUCCAGGUAGGGCCAGGAAAAGACUCCCUGCCUGAAACCCUGGAGAGCUUCUGCUUCCAGUCAGACAACACUGAGCUAGAUGGACUAUUGGUCCGAGUAUAAGACAGCUGCUUAUUUAAACCAUCCCUUUCUUUAGAACAAGGGGAGGCAACCUAAGGCCCAGGGGCCGGAUGCAGCCCAAUCACCUUCUCAAUCCAGCCCGUGGGCGGUCUGGGAAUCAGUGUGUUUUUACAUAAGUAGAAUGUGUCCUUUUAUUUAAAAUGCAUCUCUGGGUUAUUUGUGGGGCAUAGGAAUUCGUUCGUUCCCCCCCCCCCAUAUAGUCCAUCCCACCACAUGGUCUGAGGGACGGUGGACCGGCCCACGGCUGAAAAAGGUUGCUGACCCCUGCUUUAGAACCUUGAGGACUGGAAUCUUUAUUUUAGUUUGGAGUAAGAUGUACCACAGCUCAGUGGUACAGCAUCUGUUUUGCAUGCAGCAGGUCCCAGGUUCCAUCCCUGCUGGCAUAUCCAGGUAGGGCUGGGAAUGCCCCUGCCUGAAACCCUGGACAGACACUGCCAGUCAGUGUGGGCAACCCUGAACUAGGUGGACCAACAGUCUGGCUCCGUAUUUGGUUUUCGCUCAGAGGAGAGCUGCUGCCAGUCAGUGUAUGUAAUACUGAGUUAAAUGGACCUAUGAUCUGCAACUGAAGCCGCACAUGACAAACAUCUGAAACGCUACAGAGCUGCUGCUGCCAGUCAGUACGUGCCAUACUCAGCAAGAUGAACCAAGGGUCUGAUUCUGUACAAGGCAGCUUCCUGUGUUCCCACUGCCUAAGUGGCUCCUUGCUUAGACUCAGCGUGAUGUGGCUGCUUCUCCACAGCUUCUGUGUUCGGAUCCUUACCAACAACCCUGGGUGCUAGGCCUCUCGCAUCUGCAUUUUGACAGGUGGGAGGGUGCACGGCAGGCCACCCACAAGGGUGCUGGGUUGGGAGCUGGCUUUCCCAGGCUCAGCACCCAUCCUCUCUCCCCACCCUUCCAGGAUCUUAUUGCUGAAGGAGACCCUUUUCUCUCUCGCCCUUGCCUGGAAAGGGCCUGUGCAAAGCCUGGAUGGGUGCCAGGGGGAGGGGCGAUGGGCAGGUGGCAGCCUGAGCUGGCACUUCCUUCAUCCCUGCCCUUGCCUGAGCCACCAUGAUUUGAAGCCCCACAAGGCCUCUUGAGGGCAAAUAUUCUCUCGGCUGGGUGGGAUCUGCCCAGACUCAUCCCGGGAGCGACGUGGAACCGGAGACAGAGGAACGUUCCCACCGGAGCGCUUCCAAGUCCGUGGCUCGAGGCACUGUGUUCUUGGAGGGAGAAAGCAAUAAACAGGUGGAUGCAGGAACACCUGCCAGGUCCAGCGGACAGUCUCAACAUGCGUAGGUAUGGCCUACGGGCCAGGGGAAAGGCGGUGGCUUUGAGUUGAAGAGGAAGCCUUCUGAGGUUGUGAGCCACUUGGCUGCUUGGAUCCUGGUAAUGGUGGCCCCAAGCACCAGUCCUCUAAUGAGAUGGGUGUUUCCAGAACUCCAAGGCAGCUUUCAUUUGAGGGUGGAAAGAUAAAGAAAUAAAUCACUGGAGCGGGGUGUCAAGGACUUCUACACCUGGGGCUACAAGGCUCUCCUACCGUCAACACAGUUGCUCCACCAGAACAAGGACAUUCCUCAUCAUCUCAGGGAUUUUCUACCUGAGUUUUUACCCAUGGGGCAACCCUUGAGCUUGUAUCGCUGGAACAGGGGUGGCCUUUCUGUGGCCCCACAGGCCUUAUCCAGCCUGCUGGUUGUUUCCUUGUGGCUUCCACAAGACCCACAGACAACCCCCACAGAGGGCUGUAGCUCAGAGGCGGAGCACCUGCUUUGCAUGCAGAAGGUUCCAGGUUCAUUCCCUAACAGCAUCUCUAGGUAGGUCGGGGGAAAUGUCCCCUGCCUGGAACCAAGGGGAGCCAUUUCUGCCUGUCAGAGUUGACAGCCCUGAACAAGAUGAGCCAGUGGUCAGACCACUGAUCCAUCCAGCUCAGUACUGUCUGUGCUGACUGGCAGCAGCAGCUCCUCCAGGAUUUUCAGACUGGGAAGCGUUCCCAGCCCUACCUAGAGAUGCCACCAGCAACUGAACCUAGGGGCUUCUGCGCGCAUAUCUGGGACUCUACGAAGGAGCUAUGACCCUUCCCUUAAACAUGAAGCGAGGUUCUAGUCAUCGUUCUGAAGCAAGGGUGGAAUUGAAUAGGAGCAUACUACAGAGUCAGACCAUUGGUUCCUCUAACCAAUGUGACUCUCCAAGGCUCCAGGUGGGGAACAUCUACCUGGAGAUGCUGGAAACUGAAUGUGGACCUUCUGCAUGUAAAGUGAAGAUGCUGGAAACUGAAUGUGGACCUUCUGCAUGUAAAGUGUAACAAUAAUAUCAAGCAGUUGCAUCCAGCUAAGCUGCACUUGAGAGUAGAUCCAUUGAAAUUAAGGGGCCUAAAUUAGACUACAACCCAAACCUUAUUUCAGAGUGAUAUUUUCUUCCUUUCUGCCCCUUCUCAUAGUGCUGGAGCUGUCCCUAGGCCUGAGCCUCCCUCUGACGGAGGCAGCAUAUCAGGGCCCUUUGGGCCCCCCUGUGAUAGGUGUCCUUUGUGUUCCUCCCGCUAUGUUUCACAGGAAGGAGGUGCCAUGGCAUCAGGCUGAUAGCCCAGAGGAGGAGGAAGUCUGGAUAUUGUCAUAGGGGACGGAUAUGGGAUUGGCAGAGCAGUUGGUCUCCUCCUUGGGUUCAAAAUUGGGAGGGGAGGCACCGGAGAUGUGUGUGAGAGAGUCCAAAACUUGCAAGCUAAAUCUAAAGUUAUUUGCUUCAAGCAAAUGAGGGAUCUCUUGCAAGCACACUCCAGAAAAUAAUAUAAUCCACACGUGAUGCACCUUCAGCUAAUGGUAUUUUGCAAAUUCUGCCAUCCAGCUUUUGAAGGUGGCUUUAUAUCAGGGGUAGGGACGCAGGUGGCACUGUGGGUUAAACCACAGAACCUAGGAUUUGUCGAUCAGAAGGUCGGCGGUUCAAAUCCCCGCGACGGGGUGAGCUCCCAUUGCUCGGUCCCAGCUCCUGCCAACCUAGCAGUUCGAAAGCACGUCAAAGUGCAAGUAGAUAAAUAGGUACCGCUCCUGCGGGAAGGUAAACGGCGUUUCCAUGCGCUGCUCUGGUUCGCCAGAAGCGGCUUAGUCAUGCUGGCCACAUGACCCGGAAGCUGUACACCGGCUCCCUCGGCCAAUAAAGCGAGAUGAGCACUGCAACCUCAGAGUCGGUCACGACCGGACCUAACGGUCAGGGGUCCCUUUACCUUUUACCUUAUAUCAGGGGUACCCAAGCUUGCUUUAGCCUGAGGUCUAUAUUCACAUAUGGCAGCAGUACAGGUGCCACACAGUACUCAUUCCACACUUGUAAGGAAUCAGUCUUUUAGCAUGGCAGCAGCUACACAGAAUGACAGAAUCACAGAGUUGGAAGGGACCCUUAAGUGUAUCCAGACACAUGUAGAAGUUACAUAUGUUUUUAUGUCUUGUUAGCUACAGUUGAUUUUAAUUCAAACAUCUCCUUUUAAUAGGUUCUCCUCCAAAAUGUUAAUGCUUUAUUUUAUAGCCUUAAAGGGCUCAGGACUGCAAUACCUCAAGAACCACCUCUCUCCAUACAAACUUACCUGGACCCUGAGAACAUCUUCUGAGGGCCUUCUUUGUGUGCCUCCUCCCGAGAACUCUUGAGGGUAGAAACACAAGAACAGGGCCUUUUCUGCAGUGGCUCCCCAUUUGUGGAAUACUUUCCCUAGCGAUGUUCAGCUGGCAUCUUCACUGUACACCUUUAGGCGAAAAACGUUCCUCUUAAAAACCAGGCCUUUGUCUGAUUGACAUCCGAUGUCCUUUUAAAAUAUGUUGUGGGAGCAGGGAUAAUUAAUUGGGUUGUCCUUGUUUUUGUUUUUAUAAUGUAUUUUCUGUUUUUCAUAUUGUGAUUUUAUGUUGUGAACUGCCCUAAGAUCUACAGGUAUAUGGUGGUAUACAAAUUUAAUAAAUAAAUAAAAAUAAUAAAAAUAGUUUUGUACACUGCUUAAAGAAGGUUUUUUUUUUUUUUUUUAAAGUAUCAAAUGGCAUAUAAAUGUUGUUAAAUAAAAAAGCACUCUGCUCCAGUCUGGCUACUUGCAGCCAGAGGAAGGAUCUGUUCCACAGUGCCAUCACUAAAGGUGGCCAAGGGGAGGUACUGCAACUGUAAGAUCAGCAGAGUCAGGCACCUCCAGGGGCCAGGAAGAUUUGGCCUGGUGCCAUAAACUGCUGGCCUUGAGCGACUUUUGACACAAUGACAGACUGAAGCUCUGCUUUCUCUAUAGCUCUAAAAAAGGUUGCCAUCAAUCAUCCUGUCUAUGCCCCUGUUGCAAUACUGAACUGAAUUUGGCAAAGCUGGGCUCGGCUAGUUUUAUUUUGUUUGUUUUGGAUAUUUAACCAUCAUAUCCCAUACUUUCUUUCUUUUUUCUUUUUUGCAACUUUGGGGUCAUGCUGGACACCUUCAAACUAUGCUGGCAAAGCAGCCUUGGCCUUCAAAUAAAUUUUGGCUCAAGACUCUCUGUACGCUGAAGCCUGGGAUUUAGUCACAUUCCACAUUUUGCAUUCAAAUGAAACCAUCAGAGACAAUCCAACAAGCUUUUAACAUGGUGCAAUGUUUUGAUUUGAGGAUAACUGGAGGCUAAAAAAAAAAAAAAAACAACGCACAAGAAAUCCUCCGCUGAAGAAUCAAACUCCUCCUUGGAACAAUAACAAAGGUGACAUCAUCAAUAUCACCACUGGACUUCCUUUGUUAUGGAAGGAGGUAAUUAAUGAGACAACAAGUGUGCUCUGGACUGCUUGCAAUCUCAAAUUAUCACUGUUUACAUGCUUUGCUGCUUUUUUUUUUUUUUUGCUCAUAAAUGUCCCUUUGAUGUUACAACGGGUUUAUUUUUACCCAGCCAUUGCCUGUCGCAACAGCUGCUAUAACCCCCUUUUGUCUUUCCUGGGGUAGAAACAGCAAAGAAGACCAGCCUUCUCAGUAGGAAGAAUGGGACCAUGGGGAUGAGCAGUCAAUUUUUUUAAAGAAAGGACGUCUGGUUUAAAAAUAGGCCAAAGGUACCUGGGAAUUUGGCUGACUAUUUGAAAAUAAUUAUAUUAAAUUGUGGAAGGAAGUUAAGAAAGAGUUGGAGAUAUGGGGAGAAUGAAACUCCCCCUGUUAGGCAGAAUUUCAACCAUUAAAAUGAAUAUAUUGCCUAGGAUGCUGUUUUUAUUCUAAUCAAUCCCAAUUGUAAACAAUUUAAGCUGCUUCAAAGAAUGGAAAAAAGAUAUCUCUAAAUUUAUCUGGCAGGGGGAAAAGUCAAGAAUUAAACAUAAAAUUAUGAUAGAUACUAAAGAAAGAGGGGGCUUUGCUCUGCCAGAUUUGCAUGUGUAUUAUGAGGCAGCUUGUUUGUGUUGGUUAAAAAAUGGAUUGUAUUGGACAAUUGCAGACAUCUUAGAUUUAGAGGCUCAUGACUUAAAAUCCGGCUGGCAUGCAUGUCUCUGGUAUGGGAAGGCUAAAAUCUACAAGAGUUUUAUAAACCAUAUCCUUAGGAAGAAUCUGCAUAGAGUCUGGGAGAAAUAUAAAAAUUUGCUGGAAAGAAAAACACUAUGGCUAUUUCCCAUUGAAGCAAUUAUGAUUAAGAGAGUUAAUAUGGACAGACAAUGGGCGACUUACAGGGAACCGCUGGAUUUUACAGUGGAGGAACCCAAACUGAAAUCAAUGGAAAACUUAAGAAGCCACGUUAUGGAUUGGUUAUCACCAGUUAUACAAUAUGUUUAAAAUGGAUAGAAAGAAUGGAUUUCUGGAUCAAAGAUCCCAAUUUGAAAAAGAACUUUUACAAAAUAAGGACAAACUUUUGUCUAAAAUGUAUAAUUUUCUACUAGAAUGGGAAACAAAAGAUGAGCUUGUUAAAGCUUCAAUGACACACUGGGCAAUAGAUUUGAAAGUUUACAGUAAAAUAUGCCAGGGGUGUAUAUGCAAAAUGAAAGACAAGAAGGGAAGUCAUUGGAUAUUUUAAAGUUUGUAAAAUGUUUAUUUGAAAUUGUAAAAUUGAAAAUUUUAGGAAGAAUUUCAGUGAUUAAAAUGAAUGUAUUGCCAAAAAUGUUAUUUUUAUUUCAGUCAAUCCCAGUGAUGAGCAAUGUGAGCUGGCAAAGAAUGGCAAAAUGAUAUUACAAGAUUUAUCUGGAAAGGGAAG